rnacentral:rRNA from 1 species
GUCCCAUUCCGAACCCAGAAGUUAAGCCCGUAAACGCUGAAAGUACUUGGAGGGAAGCCUCCCGGGAGGAUAGGAACUUGCCAAGC